GACGAACGCUGGCGGCGUGCUCAACACAUGCAAGUCGAACGGAAAGGCCCUGCUUUUGUGGGGUGCUCGAGUGGCGAACGGGUGAGUAACACGUGAGUAACCUGCCCUUGACUUUGGGAUAACUUCAGGAAACUGGGGCUAAUACCGGAUAGGAGCUCCUGCUGCAUGGUGGGGGUUGGAAAGUUUCGGCGGUUGGGGAUGGACUCGCGGCUUAUCAGCUUGUUGGUGGGGUAGUGGCUUACCAAGGCUUUGACGGGUAGCCGGCCUGAGAGGGUGACCGGCCACAUUGGGACUGAGAUACGGCCCAGACUCCUACGGGAGGCAGCAGUGGGGAAUAUUGCACAAUGGGCGGAAGCCUGAUGCAGCAACGCCGCGUGCGGGAUGACGGCCUUCGGGUUGUAAACCGCUUUCGCCUGUGACGAAGCGUGAGUGACGGUAAUGGGUAAAGAAGCACCGGCUAACUACGUGCCAGCAGCCGCGGUGAUACGUAGGGUGCGAGCGUUGUCCGGAUUUAUUGGGCGUAAAGGGCUCGUAGGUGGUUGAUCGCGUCGGAAGUGUAAUCUUGGGGCUUAACCCUGAGCGUGCUUUCGAUACGGGUUGACUUGAGGAAGGUAGGGGAGAAUGGAAUUCCUGGUGGAGCGGUGGAAUGCGCAGAUAUCAGGAGGAACACCAGUGGCGAAGGCGGUUCUCUGGGCCUUUCCUGACGCUGAGGAGCGAAAGCGUGGGGAGCGAACAGGCUUAGAUACCCUGGUAGUCCACGCUGUAAACGGUGGGUACUAGGUGUGGGGUCCAUUCCACGGGUUCCGUGCCGUAGCUAACGCUUUAAGUACCCCGCCUGGGGAGUACGGCCGCAAGGCUAAAACUCAAAGGAAUUGACGGGGCCCCGCACAAGCGGCGGAGCAUGCGGAUUAAUUCGAUGCAACGCGUAGAACCUUACCUGGGUUUGACAUGGAUCGGGAGCGCUCAGAGAUGGGUGUGCCUCUUUUGGGGUCGGUUCACAGGUGGUGCAUGGCUGUCGUCAGCUCGUGUCGUGAGAUGUUGGGUUAAGUCCCGCAACGAGCGCAACCCUUGUUCACUGUUGCCAGCACGUUAUGGUGGGGACUCAGUGGAGACCGCCGGGGUCAACUCGGAGGAAGGUGGGGAUGACGUCAAGUCAUCAUGCCCCUUAUGUCCAGGGCUUCACGCAUGCUACAAUGGCUGGUACAGAGAGUGGCGAGCCUGUGAGGGUGAGCGAAUCUCGGAAAGCCGGUCUCAGUUCGGAUUGGGGUCUGCAACUCGACCUCAUGAAGUCGGAGUCGCUAGUAAUCGCAGAUCAGCAACGCUGCGGUGAAUACGUUCCCGGG
rnacentral:rRNA from 1 species